CACGUAGGGCGCGAGCGUUGUCCGGAAUUAUUGGGCGUAAAGAGCUCGUAGGCGGCCUGUUGCGUCCGCUGUGAAAGCCCGGGGCUUAACCCCCGGGUCUGCAGUGGAUACGGGGCAGGCUAGAGGUAGGUAGGGGAGAAUGGAAUUCCCGGUGUAGCGGUGAAAUGCGCAGAUAUCGGGAGGAACACCGGUGGCGAAGGCGGUUCUCUGGGCCUUACCUGACGCUGAGGAGCGAAAGCGUGGGGAGCGAACAGG
rnacentral:rRNA from 1 species